GGCGUGUGAAUAAUUCGCCACUACUCCCCAAAUUAAAACUUAUGAAAUUUUUAAUGUUUGUUGCCGUUCUAAUUAGCGUUCCAAACACAAAAUCAGUCAAUAAUUAAAUAUCGUGCGCAGCCAACAUAUAUGUUUUAUAAAUUAUAACUUCAACAAAUCCAGUUACAACAUAAUGUGUGUUUAUAUUACGGUGAAUGUUGUGUUUAUAUAUUGACUUAUUUGUGCCGUUGAUUUUAAUAUUGGAAUACAUUGACCCAUCAUCAAACUUAAAGGUAAGGAGAAUAUUGUUUGUGUUAACAUGUUUUUAUGAGUUUUAUCGAUAUUUUAAUUUUUAAGCAAUGCAUUUGUAUGAAAUUGUAAAUGAAGUAUGUAGUUACUUAUUAUAAGUGUUGCAAAUAGAAUUUAUGAGUAAAAAUACAUUGUCUCGACGAAUAACCCCCAAAAAGUUUGUGGUCUUGUUAUGUCUAUGAUUGAUACUAUUGACAUCUAUUAUCUGUACACUUCAAAAUUGAACCUGUAUAAUUAUAACUGUUGUCUACCAAAUUGAAAUUAAAAAUGACUUCCAAACAAUGUGACCUACAAAAUUAUAAGAUACAAUAAGUAAAUUUGUUUCUGUUAUAUCAUUUAAAAUUCAGUGGGAAUAAGAAAAAAAUGACUAAAAACACAAUUAAGAUCCUUAUUUAAAAUAUUUUACAAUUGCGGUAAUGUGUUCGUAUGUGGCUAUGGGUGUUCUCUGAUAACAUUAAUUUAUUAUUUUGAUUGUUGAAUAUGUUUGAUAUAUUAUAGUACAAUGAAUAAGUAGAUUCUGUUAUAUUAUCGUUGAAUUGUUUCAACUGAAUUAGUAAAACUGAAGAAGUAUAUACCUACCUACUUAAUUGUCCUAAUAGUUGAAGAUAUAUAUAACGUUAAUUGUAUUUUACAGUACCUGUUCUACAAAAUAUUUGAUACAAUCCUUUGAACAACAUAAUAGUUUUUCCAUACUUCACCAUAAUACUUUGUAUGCAAGUUAUUAAACUAAUGAACGUGGUGAACCUUUUGUAUACAAACCAACUUUAAUAGAAUUGUGUAUUAUUUUAUAAUAUAUGAUUUCUAUUUUUUAAUAAUAGUUCUUUAAAUUACUUACUUAGGUAAUAUAAUUAAACUAAUAGGUAGACAAUUUGAGCUGUAUAUUAAUAAUUUAUAAUGCUUACCUCCAACCUAUAAAUUGCCUUCCACUCAUAUGAUAUUUAUUUAUUUUAUUAGGUAUAAAAUGUUAUACAUUUAUUGAAUUCAGGUACACUUUUUUUUUUGUUUGGUAUCCUUUUUAAAAGAGUCAUUUUAUUAGUACUUUUACAGUAAUUGAUAUACCAGCCAUAGAUAACACAAUUUGUAUGUUUAUCUUAAAAAUAUUAAUGAUUUGANGUGCUUAUUCAGUGUAUUUUCAUAUUAUAUUGAUUAAAUUGUGAUUUGAUAAAUAAUUUA
rnacentral:lncRNA from 1 species